UACAGAGGUCUCAAGCGUUGUUCGGAUUUAUUGGGCGUAAAGCGUGCGUAGGCGGCUGCGCAAGUCGGGUGUGAAACCCCGGGGCUCAACCCCGGAACUGCAUCCGAUACUGCGUGGCUAGAGGUAGGUAGGGGAGAUCGGAAUUCCUGGUGUAGCGGUGAAAUGCGCAGAUAUCAGGAGGAACACCGGUGGCGAAGGCGGAUCUCUGGGCCUUACCUGACGCUCAGGCACGAAAGCUAGGGGAGCGAACAGG
rnacentral:rRNA from 1 species